CUGAGCCUCGCAGGUGCCCUUUCUCCACCGUCGCUGCAACCUCCACUCUAACAUUUUACCUCUCCUAGCUACCACUAUCUCCCUCUCCGCCUUCCAAUCCUCCGCCCACUUUUUCUAUCCUUCUCCGCUCCCGCCACCCCUCCACCCAUCACCUCGCCAAUCGCAAGACCUACGCAUCCAAUUUUUUUCUCUUUGUCUCCACACUUACUUCUGCUGCUCCACCAUUGCGGUUGCAGUCACCUUUAUUCCUCUCAUCCUUACUUUUUGGGUUCUUUCCUUCAGCUCUUUUGCUUUCCCCAAAUUUUAGAAAUACUUAGGGCUUGUAAAAGGUGCCACCUCAAAAUCCGUCUGCCAGUGGAAGAUACUGUCUUGCGUGAAAUUGUGAACACUACUCCGAAAUUGUGAACAUCUUGCGUGAAAUUUAUCCUUUCGCAAAACUUCCAGAGAAGAUUGUCUUGGAGCGUUAGACGGUACUUAUGUAAGUACAUGUUCUUCUUAGAGACCAAGGAAGGUACAGAAAUAGGAAGAAUGAGAUAGCAACAAAUGUUUUAGGUGUAUGCUCCCGUGACAUGAGAUUUACAUAUGUAUUGUCUGGAUGGGAAGGUUCUGCAGUAGAUAGCAGUUUUACAUGCUGCGUUAGGUAGAUCAGAUCCAUUAAUUGUUCCCAAGGGUAUGUGAUAAUUAGACUUAUCGAGUGUUUUUUUUCAAUUAUAAAUGAGUAACAAUUUGUUGUCUAACAUUAUAGGCAAGU